CCGAGGUGUCUGUCUCACCAUCACCCACUCACAAUGGCAUGGAAUGCAUAUUAGUCAUAAUAGCAAAGGGAUCCAAUCAGCUGCAGCCAGGUCAUAAAGAAAGAGCAUCUUUUGCAAGAAAAGCUUUGUAUACAAAGCAGGCUCCGGGAAAUUCAGCUUUCAAAUGGCAUUAGCAAGUCAGGAUGCUGCAAACACACUCAAGGUCCUCCAAGGAUAGAGUAAGGAGCUCACCCUCCAUAUCCUCCCACCUCAACUGCCACCAUUUCUCCUCUGCACACUGAAGGGCAGAGAAACCACAGACUCACCCAGAGACAGUUGGGAUGGAACCAGGAGCUGAUGUCUGCCACUUCUCCUGCUGCUU